rnacentral:tRNA from 1 species
GCGGUACUAGCUCAACGGGAGAGCUGCUGCCUUCCAAGCAGUAGGUCGGGGUUCGAUUCCCCGGUACCGCU